rnacentral:rRNA from 1 species
GACGAACGCUGGCGGCGUGCCUAAUACAUGCAAGUAGAACGCUGAAGGAGGAGCUUGCUUCUCUGGAUGAGUUGCGAACGGGUGAGUAACGCGUAGGUAACCUGCCUGGUAGCGGGGGAUAACUAUUGGAAACGAUAGCUAAUACCGCAUAAGAGUAGAUGUCGCAUGACAUUUGCUUAAAAGGUGCAAUUGCAUCACUAGCAGAUGGACCUGCGUUGUAUUAGCUAGUUGGUGAGGUAACGGCUCACCAAGGCAACGAUACAUAGCCGACCUGAGAGGGGGAUCGGCCACACUGGGACUGAGACACGGCCCAGACUCCUACGGGAGGCAGCAGUAGGGAAUCUUCGGCAAUGGACGGAAGUCUGACCGAUCAACGCCGCGUGAGUGAAGAAGGUUUUCGGAUCGUAAAGCUCUGUUGUAAGAGAAGAACGAGUGUGAGAGUGGAAAGUUCACACUGUGACGGUAUCUUACCAGAAAGGGACGGCUAACUACGUG